AUCAUUGGUUUGUAGGGGGAAAGAGUGGGUGAAUAUAAUUAUCUCGGUCUAACUUAUACUGUUUAUUAUACCGCUAUUCGCAGCAAUAUCUUUCUCUGCUCCGAUUGCAACGCUGCCUCGUUCAAAUAUCAUAACACCGCCGCGGUCGCCACGUUUACCAGCAAAGAGUCUCCUUGUCUACCAGCCGGAGCCUCAAAUCAUGUCCCUUUGUGGUGAUAAAGAGGACACAGCCUGGUGUGAAGCUACAUUUAUUGCGGAAGGAUGCCAGCCGGGAUCCGAACACGUCCGAUAUCAUCCAAGAGAAUGUGGCAGCUGAAGGGGAGAGUCCAAGAAAGAGGCCAAGGGUGAAGACAUUUAGCCACUCCCUGAACUACGUGGCAGCAUCCAACCCUCACCUGAGCUGCAGGGAUGUGCUUCCCAUUGCAGUGCACCAGCUCCAUGUACUGAUUUUGGGUGUGAACUUGAUGGGGUUGGAGGAAACUCGACUCGACCAUCAAGCUCACCACAAUAUAACAUGAAAAGUGAAAAUUGCUGCACACAACAGUCUGCCGUCUGCACCGGGAGGCAAGGCAGCUCAAAGCCCAGGCUGUUACAACUCCUGGGCAGUUUUUGCCCAGAUGCCAAGAUCUAAGCCUAGUAGAAGAUAUGGGUUACAAGAGAGGAGGUUUGCUCUGGCCUUAUACUAUCAAAGUCCAAAUGCUAAUAGAUUUCUAAGCACAGUAUUUCACUUGCCUUCAGUUUCAACACUUCACUCAUGACUUUGGGGUAUUUCAGUACAUGUUGGCUGGAGCAAACAGACUCUGACAGCCCUGCAGCAAAGAGCACAGGCUUUGUCAAAAGAAGAGAUACUUCGUGGGAUUUGCCAUUAUUUAGUAUUACUCUUGUUACGCCAAGAAUUUUUUUCCAUAUACUUUGCCAAAUAUUGCAAGUAAUGUACCAUUGUUGGGCUUGCCUGUUAUAAAUCAGAUCUUGUUCAAUUAACAAGCUUUGGGUGUCUGCCACUUUCCAGUUGUAAUGCAAGGAAUCAUUUACCUCCCUUGCUAGAUAUCACAUGUAAUGCACCAUUGUUGGUUUUGCCUGUUAUAAAUCAGAUCUUGUUCAGUUAACAAGCUUUAGGUGUCUGCCACUUUCCAGUUGUAAUGCAAGGAAUCCCCUGCCAGGUAUCGCAUGUAAUGCACCAUUGUUGGUUUUGCCUGUUAUAAAUCAGACCUUGUUCAGCUCACAAGCUUUGAAUAUUUGCCAUUGUUUAUUUCAGGUGUAAUGCUUGGAAGCAUUUGUUCUCUCCCCUACCCAACAGUAUGCAAUGCUUUAUUGUGGAUUUUGCCUGUUAUAUUUAAUCUUGUUCAGGUAACAAGCUUUUGGUGUCUGCCUUACCGAAUAAUAUGCUGCAGUGACACUUGGCUUGAUUUCAUAAUGUGAAAUACAGCAUGUAAUUUCAUCACACUAAGUGUCUAUCAUCACAUGUCUGGCAUCAUUAAUGUGGCUUCGAGGAGUAAUCUUGUUUGUAUUACAGCAUGCAUUGUUUUUUUCUGCUUUAUAUGAUACGCAUAAUCACAUAGGUAUGAUUUUUUUUUUUUUUUUUUUUUUUUUUUUUUUUGUGGACAAAAUGUAAUGGCAGUUGAUAUUCUUGACUAAUGCCUCAUAAACCUUAUUUUGUCUCAUUUGCUUUUAUCAUAUCUACCUCUGCUACUUAGUUGUGCCUACUGAGCUUAAUAUCUUCAUGACCCUGACACCAGGGUCAGAGCUUGUGAGAUCAUACCGUGUCCUACAUCCCAUUUUCACCUCCAGGCUCGGCUGUCUCCCAGGACCACCAAGUUAUUGCAUUCCAUUUAAGACAACUCAUGUGUUACCUUCUUGAUGUUCUCCAUCAUGUAUUUCAGCAUGUUUUAUGAUGCUUUGCUCUUAUAUAUUGAUGUGCCUUGCAACAUUUUUAUACAGUUUUCAUUGUAUAUAACGCACCAUUGUUGGUUUUGCCUGUUAUAAAUCGGGUCAUGUUCAGUUAACAAGCUUUGAGUGUCUCCCAUUGUUUAUUUCAGUUGUAAUGCUUAGAAGCUUUUGUUCUCUGCCCUGUCAAGCAGUAUGCAAUGCUUGCUAUUAUCUGGCACUGGUACAGUUAGUAUGAUAUUUUUACUCAGCUAAGAGCAUUUUGCAAAAGGUAAAGGUACGGUUGGGGGCAUACGCUGUAGCAGCGCGUGGCCUCGGUGCUCAUCUCUGUAACAUUUGCCCUUGAGCCUGUGGUGUUAGGGAACCCAUUACCCUGGGACACAGGACCAGUGUGACACCCGGGUUACCACUGUUGCAAAGGCAUUAUAGUAAUUAGCAUGCAUAGAAUGUUGUAUGCUUUGCUUGUAUUUAAAGCACUGGAUAUGUUUGCUACACAC